UUAAACGGUAGGGUAUUGGCCUACCGUGGCAAUGACGGGUAACGGGGAAUUAGGGUUCGAUUCCGGAGAGGGAGCCUGAGAAACGGCUACCACAUCUAAGGAAGGCAGCAGGCGCGCAAAUUACCCAAUCCUAAUACAGGGAGGCAGUGACAAGAAAUAACAAUACAGGACUUUUUGGUUUUGUAAUUGGAAUGAGUA
rnacentral:rRNA from 1 species